GAAGAAUCUGACUCCGAUGUUUAAGAACACGUUUCAAUCCGGGUUUCUUUCCAUUUUGUACAGCCUUGGGAGCAAGCCUCUGCAGAUUUGGGAUAAAGAAGUUGUUGAUGGACAUGUCAAACGGCUGCAAGAUGAAGAUAUCCAAUCCAAUGUCCUGGAAAUUAUUGGGUCGAAUGUCCAGCAAGCAUAUAUAACGUGUCCUGCAGAUCCUAAUGCAACUCUUGGCAUAAAGUUGCCCUUCUUAGUCAUGAUAGUGA
rnacentral:misc_RNA from 1 species